CCAGAAACUCAAGUGAGCAGAAGCAAUUUCAAAAAGUAUUAAAGUAAUUAAACUAUUUCAAAAAGCAAUAAUGGAAUUAUUUCAGAACCCAGCAGUUCAGGAUACAGAUGUUUCAGAGUGACUGUGUCUUGUCUGCUAAUGCUGGUUGUUUUCUCGCUGGUUGUCAUCACCAUACUGUGGGUCAAAUUUAAUAACCUGACUGUAGAAAGAGGCCAGUUGGAGACCAGUUUCAACAAUCUGACUAUAGAGAGAGACCAGUUACAGACCAGUUUCAACAACCUGACUAUAGAGAGAGACCAGUUACAGACCAGUUUCAACAACCUGACUAUAGAGAGAGACCAGUUACAGACCAGUUUCAACAACCUGAAUAUGGAAAAAAGUCAGUUACAGACCCGUUUCAACAACAUGGCUGCUGAGAAGGAACGUCUUUCUCAACUGAAGAAAGACAUUA